rnacentral:misc_RNA from 1 species
GAUGAAGAACGUAGUGAAAUGCGAUACGUAAUGUGAAUUGCAGAAUUCAGUGAAUCAUCGAGUCUUUGAACGCACAUUGCGCCCCCUGGUAUUCCGGGGGGCAUACCUGUCCGAGCGUCAUUGCUGCCCUCAAGCACGGCUUGUGUGUUGGGCCUCCGUCCUCCUCCCGGGGGACGGGCCCGAAAGGCAGCGGCGGCACCGCGUCCGGUCCUCGAGCGUAUGGGGCUUCGUCACCCGCUCUUGUAGGCCCGGCCGGCGCUUGCCGACACAUCAAUCUUUUUUCCAGGUUGACCUCGGAUCAGGUAGGGAUACCCGCUGAACUUAAGCAUAUCAAUAAGCGGAGAA